GAAUAACAUUUAUUUAAUGGAUGCUGAGCAAAAGGUAUUCACAUUUCAUGCUUCGGGGCUUAAGCCGAUCCUAGAUCAGUAGGGAACUUUUCCAGGCUCUGAAUUGUGCAACUGGGAGCAGAAUGUUUGGGGAAAUGAUCCUGUUUCCAAUUUCUGUGUUUAAAGGCAGCUAUGUUGACAAUGAUUUUCCGGCACUUUAACUAUCAAGAUAAUAAUACUUGUAGACUGCAGGUGCACUAUUGCCUGAAGCCACAUGGGAAGUCACAAGAAAGAGAAAUAAUAUACCAUCAGAGCUUAAACCUACUUUGUAACCCCAGCUAAUCAUUCACUACUUGUGAUUCUUCUGGCAACAAAUAAGGAAAAAAUACAGCAUCAAUUGUGAACUUAUGGUCAUAUGUCAGAUAUUGGUAAGACAUUUUGAACCCAUGAAUUCAUGUCAUCAUUUCAACAACUAACAUAAAUAUCAUGAACCCCAUUUUACAGAUGUGAAAAUGAAGGUUUAAAAAUGAAAUAACAACAAAACUACAUGAGUAGAAGGCAGAAAAAGCCAACAUUAGAAUCCAGGUCCUUCUGAAUUUAAAGCUCAUGUUCUUUUCACUAAAUCUGUAUUCCAUACAAAUCUGAUUUUAUAAGAGAGAAAAUUUAAAAAACUCAGCAACAAAGGAACGAACAGACAUCACCUCAGCAUUAUCUUAUAUUAUACCCAGACAAAAACAUUUUAAAUAGAAAUAAAUUCUGGCUUAAAAAAAAGUUUUCCAGAAAAUGAAUCAUCUUACCCAGAGGCGUAGGGGUGGUAGGUAACCAAGCCUAUUUGGCAAACAUGGCAAACAUUUAGUGAAAAGCGGGCUUUCACCUACACCAUGCUUCAGGAUAGGAACACACCUGCCUUUACCUUAGGUGGAAAUCAAAAACAAUCAGUAAAUAUUUGGAAAGUAUAUCCUUUGCGCAAAUAUUUUUCUUACGAGUUUCUGAGUACACACAGAGAAAAAUAAGAUAGGGACUCUUCCCUCAAGAUGUUCACACUCCAAAUGGGAAGAUAUAAUACACAGGAUUUGAUUCCAACCCAUCUAUACAAUUCAAUAUCCUUGUUUUUGUUUUUAUUUUAGCAAUCUCUACACCCAAUGUGAGGCUCAAACUGAUGAUAUCAAGAUCAAGAGUGUCAUGCUUUUCUGACUGAGCCAGUCAGGAGCCCCUACAAUUCAACAUGUUUGUAUUCAUGGUCUACCUCAGGAUAGAAUAGAAAGAGAUAAGUAAGAGAUAGCACCCCCAGGCAGAUUGCUUCCACUCUAGUAAAGUACAUUAGUGAAGAAAACACAUAAGCUGAGGUAUAACAGUAUAUUAGUGCCCUAAGAGAUACAGGCUAAGUGUUCCAGGGAUGCAAGGAAUAAUGAGAGAUCUUCCUAAGAUCUAGCAUGACGCCUGGCUCUUUGUUGCUACUCAUGGCAAAAGGGAAGUUUCACAAUUACAGACAUACUAGUUAAGAGUAAUAAAUUCAUUUGACCCGCAAAAGAAAGGAACAAUUGCAGUGGGAAAAUGAAGCUUGAUCUUGAUCUUGAGAAACUGAUAAGACUUAGCUGUACUAUGACUCUUCCUCUGUCUAAGACUCUUCAUCUACACUAUAUGAUAUAGCCAAUGGAUACAUGUGGCAGUUAAGCACUUGAGAUGUGGCUAGUCCAAACUGAAAUGUGCCAAAGUAUAAAAUGUGUACCAUAUUCAAGUGACUUAAUACAAUAAAAGAAUUUAAAAUAUCCCAUUAACAAUUUUCCAUAUCAAUUACAUGUUGAAAUGAUAGUAUCUUGGAUAUAUUGGGUUAAAUAGGAUAUAUUAUUAAAACUAAUUUCUACUGACUCGUCUUUUUAAGGUGGCUACUAGAAAAUUUUAAGUAU